GAUGAACGCUGGCGGCGUGCCUAAUACAUGCGAGUCGAGCGAACGGACGAGAAGCUUGCUUCUCUGAUGUUAGCGGCGGACGGGUGAGUAACACGUGGAUAACCUACCUAUAAGACUGGGAUAACUUCGGGAAACCGGAGCUAAUACCGGAUAAUAUUUUGAACCGCAUGGUUCAAAAGUGAAAGACGGUCUUGCUGUCACUUAUAGAUGGAUCCGCGCUGCAUUAGCUAGUUGGUAAGGUAACGGCUUACCAAGGCAACGAUGCAUAGCCGACCUGAGAGGGUGAUCGGCCACACUGGAACUGAGACACGGUCCAGACUCCUACGGGAGGCAGCAGUAGGGAAUCUUCCGCAAUGGGCGAAAGCCUGACGGAGCAACGCCGCGUGAGUGAUGAAGGUCUUCGGAUCGUAAAACUCUGUUAUUAGGGAAGAACAUAUGUGCAAGUAACUGUGCACAUCUUGACGGUACCUAAUCAGAAAGCCACGGCUAACUACGUG
rnacentral:rRNA from 1 species